rnacentral:precursor_RNA from 15 species
UUUCCUGGCACCACACUCUCCCUCUGCCUCAGUUGUACCAGGUGUUACAUUUCAUAUAUGACAAAAUGAUACAUCUAGUGCAACGGUGGCCGUUGAGAAGAACUUCCAAGCCAGAAG